CGGCAACAGCUCAAAUUUGAAAUCUGGCCUCUUUGGGGUCCGAGUUGUAAUUUGGAGAGGAUGUUUCGGGUACGGUCCGGGCUUAAAUUUCUUGGAACAGAAUGUCACAGAGGGUGAGAAUCCCGU
rnacentral:rRNA from 1 species